GACGAACGCUGGCGGCGUGCUUAACACAUGCAAGUCGAACGGAAAGGCCCUGCUUUUGUGGGGUGCUCGAGUGGCGAACGGGUGAGUAACACGCGAGUAACCUGCCCUUGACUUUGGGAUAACUUCAGGAAACUGGGGCUAAUACCGGAUAGGAGCUCCUGCUGCAUGGUGGGGGUUGGAAAGUUUCGGCGGUUGGGGAUGGACUCGCGGCUUAUCAGCUUGUUGGUGGGGUAGUGGCUUACCAAGGCUUUGACGGGUAGCCGGCCUGAGAGGGUGACCGGCCACAUUGGGACUGAGAUACGGCCCAGACUCCUACGGGAGGCAGCAGUGGGGAAUAUUGCACAAUGGGCGGAAGCCUGAUGCAGCAACGCCGCGUGCGGGAUGACGGCCUUCGGGUUGUAAACCGCUUUCGCCUGUGACGAAGCGUGAGUGACGGUAAUGGGUAAAGAAGCACCGGCUAACUACGUGCCAGCAGCCGCGGUGAUACGUAGGGUGCGAGCGUUGUCCGGAUUUAUUGGGCGUAAAGGGCUCGUAGGUGGUUGAUCGCGUCGGAAGUGUAAUCUUGGGGCUUAACCCUGAGCGUGCUUUCGAUACGGGUUGACUUGAGGAAGGUAGGGGAGAAUGGAAUUCCUGGUGGAGCGGUGGAAUGCGCAGAUAUCAGGAGGAACACCAGUGGCGAAGGCGGUUCUCUGGGCCUUUCCUGACGCUGAGGAGCGAAAGCGUGGGGAGCGAACAGGCUUAGAUACCCUGGUAGUCCACGCUGUAAACGGUGGGUACUAGGUGUGGGGUCCAUUCCACGGGUUCCGUGCCGUAGCUAACGCUUUAAGUACCCCGCCUGGGGAGUACGGCCGCAAGGCUAAAACUCAAAGGAAUUGACGGGGCCCCGCACAAGCGGCGGAGCAUGCGGAUUAAUUCGAUGCAACGCGUAGAACCUUACCUGGGUUUGACAUGGAUCGGGAGUGCUCAGAGAUGGGUGUGCCUCUUUUGGGGUCGGUUCACAGGUGGUGCAUGGCUGUCGUCAGCUCGUGUCGUGAGAUGUUGGGUUAAGUCCCGCAACGAGCGCAACCCUUGUUCACUGUUGCCAGCACGUUAUGGUGGGGACUCAGUGGAGACCGCCGGGGUCAACUCGGAGGAAGGUGGGGAUGACGUCAAGUCAUCAUGCCCCUUAUGUCCAGGGCUUCACGCAUGCUACAAUGGCUGGUACAGAGAGUGGCGAGCCUGUGAGGGUGAGCGAAUCUCGGAAAGCCGGUCUCAGUUCGGAUUGGGGUCUGCAACUCGACCUCAUGAAGUCGGAGUCGCUAGUAAUCGCAGAUCAGCAACGCUGCGGUGAAUACGUUCCCGGG
rnacentral:rRNA from 1 species